UGGUGAAUAUUGGACAAUGGGCGCACGCCUGAUCCAGCCAUGCCGCGUGUGUGAAGAAGGCCUUCGGGUUGUAAAGCACUUUUGUUGGGAAAGAAAUCCUGUCGAUUAAUACUCGGCGGGGAUGACGGUACCCAAAGAAUAAGCACCGGCUAACUUCGUGCCAGCAGCCGCGGUAAUACGAAGGGUGCAAGCGUUACUCGGAAUUACUGGGCGUAAAGCGUGCGUAGGCGGUUCGUUAAGUCUGUCGUGAAAGCCCUGGGCUCAACCUGGGAAUUGCGAUGGAUACUGGCGAGCUAGAGUACGGUAGAGGAUGGUGGAAUUCCCGGUGUAGCGGUGAAAUGCGUAGAGAUCGGGAGGAACACCCGUGGCGAAGGCGGCCAUCUGGACCAGUACUGACGCUGAGGCACGAAAGCGUGGGGAGCAAACA
rnacentral:rRNA from 1 species